rnacentral:tRNA from 1 species
GGGCGGUUAGCUCAGUUGGUUAGAGCGCAACGUUGACAUCGUUGAGGUCGUUGGUUCGACGUUGAGGUCGUUGGUUCGAGUCCAAUAUCGCCUA